AGUUUGAUCCUGGCUCAGGAUGAACGCUAGCGGCAGGCUUAAUACAUGCAAGUCGUGGGGCAGCAGGUUUGUAGCAAUACAGAUGCUGGCGACCGGCAAACGGGUGCGGAACACGUACAGAACCUUCCUUUGAGCGGGGAAUAGCCCAGAGAAAUUUGGAUUAAUACCCCAUAGUAUAAUGAAGUGGCAUCACUUUAUUAUUAAAGAUUUAUCACUCGAAGAUGGCUGUGCGGCUGAUUAGGUAGUUGGCGGGGUAAAGGCCCACCAAGCCUGCGAUCAGUAACUGGUGUGAGAGCACGACCAGUCACACGGGCACUGAGACACGGGCCCGACUCCUACGGGAGGCAGCAGUAAGGAAUAUUGGUCAAUGGAGGCAACUCUGAACCAGCCAUGCCGCGUGGAGGAUGAAGGUCCUCUGGAUUGUAAACCUCUUUUAUAUGGGACGAAAAAGGCUUUUCUAAGUCGUCUGACGGUACCAUAUGAAUAAGCACCGGCUAACUCCGUG
rnacentral:rRNA from 1 species